CCAGGGCGCACAUCGUUCAUAACUGAGCGUAACUGCUUUGAAAGGACGUCUGCAACCCUUAAAUAACUCUGUGGCUCUCUCUGCCUGGAGUCUUCCUUCCAACUUUUUUCAAGAAAUAUUUAUAAUCAAGUAAUUACACUGGUUUUAAAACAAGCAACUGUAAAAAUAUCACUCAAGAACUCACUUAAGAUUUUGCGGGAAGCCCAUUUCACUCACAAAACAAAGCAAAGCAACAAUAACAAUAAAAAUCACUACAAUAAAACCUUAGCAGAAAGAGGACAAUGAAAGACUCAGUGACUCAGCGGGAAAGUGAUGGGAAAUCAGGUGUUUCCACUUCUUGGGGCCCCUCACUUCCUGUUUCUCAGGAUCAGAUGAGAUGGGAACCAGUCCGGGAGAUGGACGACGAUGACAUGCAUCUGUUUGUGGCAGGUUGGAGCAGAACUGGUGUGCAGGACAUACUUCAUCAAGAGAUGGAGGAAUAGACAGAGAUGAAGGGAAAUUUCCCCGGAGCUCACGCUAGUUCACGGCGCCGCAAGGACUCGGUUCCAGGAUUCAGUUCAAUAGAUAUUUAUCAGACGUCUUCUGCGAGGUACAGUAUGUUGCUUGGAGGAGAAGGUGGGACUUGACGUGAGGGCUCUAAAGAUGGGAAAGACACAGUCCGUGCCCUCACAGAGCACACAUUCUACAACCGUGCUGUCCAGUCUGCUGGCUGCUAGCCACAUGUAAUUAUUUAAAUUAAAAUUAAUUACAAUUUAAAAUUCAGCUCCUCAGUCACACCAGCUAUGUUUCAAGGGUUUGAUAGCUACAUGGAGACUAGCGGCUCCCACGCUGGACAACAGAUACAGAAGAUUUUGAUUGUUGCCGAAGUUCCAUCAGACAGCACUGCUGUAGGAGGACACAGGUGGAGAAACCUGAAAGCAUGGUGUAAAGCAGAAGGUGAAAACAGAGAAAGGAAGAUUUAUGUCACCUAUGGCGUACUUUCCUAAAACCUAUUUGUGGAUAUCAGCACUUAGAAAAAUUAUAUCUUCUUAAAAUAAUCCGCCCUGCUCAUUGAAAACAUUUGGCUGUCAAUUUCCUCCACAACUUCUAGAAGUUGCAAUGAAAGAGCUGGUUCCAUGUAGAGCGGGUGACCGUGAAAAG
rnacentral:lncRNA from 1 species